UUUACAUACACUCUUUUAUACUAUCCUCGCCGCCGCUUUUGUAUCCUUCUCUCUCGCUUUGCUCAAGCUCUCUCGGAAAAAUCUGUAGAAGCUUCUCUCAUCUGAACUCAGAAGAUCUCCGAGUUCGUACCUUCUCCGUUUGAGCAAUGGCUUUGGUAAGCUUUUAUUACGCGCGAUUCAUCACUUCCUUAGCUCAUCACCAAAAGUAAAACAACGUCAUUCUCUCCUCCAUUCUUCUUCUCAACUCUCUCUCUCUCUCUCUCUCUCUCUGGAGAUUCGAUUACAACAAAAAUUGAAUGUGUUUGGAGCUAGAUACGGCGGCGGAUUUGGAUAGGGUGUUGUUUUAUUUUUCCGUUUAUGGAUCUGACUGGAGAGUUAAGAAGAAGGUCUCUCUCUCUGUUUGUCUCUCUUUAUCUGUCGGUAUCGCUUGUAACCUCUUUCGCGACUCGGGUGUCGCGAGAUCGUUUCUGGACGAAGUACUGUUUCUUCUUCCUCUAUUGUGCUAUCUCGUCUCUCGCUUUUCAUCUCUGCGACCAAUUGACUCGAUUUUCGGGCGACAAAUUCUCUUCUUACCUCUUCUACGAGAUCUUCUUCACUUCCUCUGAAAUGGACCUUCCUCGGAGGGCAGAGAAGGACAAUGUUUAUUCAAACACAAUCAACUCGGAAUCCUUCUUCUCUGAUUUUUUAUCCUGACAAACCAGUCAUGGAGGUUGGAAGCGCUGAUUUUCCUAAUGUUUGUUCCGCUUUGGGUUCGCCAUUAGCCAAGGCUAUUUACUCCAUUGAUGGUGUUCGAGUUUUCUUUGGGUCUGAUUUUGUUACUGUUACAAAGUCAGAUGAUGUUUCAUGGGAUAUUCUCAAGCCUGAGAUAUCUUGACCAACUCAAAAUCCUUUUAGAUUAGUUACCAGUUUGUUACAGGUAGUUUGUUACAGGUUAUUGAUUAAGUUCUUUGCAGAAACGAUGUACUUGGUAACACUUGGAAGGUGUUGUUUGAGCUGCGUUGGCCUGAGUUUAUUGACCAUGUCGAAUCACCAGCUGAUUGGCAACACCUUUACUGGCAGAAGCAUCUCCAAAAGUAUGCCAAUUUGUUCUUUGUUCGAUGAUAUCUCUUUGAUGCUGCCUAGUUUUUUUGUUAUCCUUGGUUUUUUCCAUUGGUUGUGUAUACAUUUGCGUCUAUGUGACUUGUCUGUUUCGUGGCAAACCUUUUAGUUAUGUUUGUGUGAGAUGGAGAAUGAGAAAUAGCUACGAGACUGAUGAUUAUGUUGCACAAAGCAAGAAUUGGAUAAUGGAUUCAUUAUUGCUUAA